rnacentral:rRNA from 2 species
UGAGGAAUAUUGGUCAAUGGGCGCAAGCCUGAACCAGCCAUGUCGCGUGCAGGAUGACGGCCCUAUGGGUUGUAAACUGCUUUUGUACGGGAAGAAAAAAGAUUACGUGUAAUCUAUUGCCGGUACCGUACGAAUAAGGAUCGGCUAACUCCGUGCCAGCAGCCGCGGUAAUACGGAGGAUCCGAGCGUUAUCCGGAUUUAUUGGGUUUAAAGGGUGCGUAGGCGGGUUAUUAAGUCAGUGGUGAAAGUUUGACGCUCAACGUUAAAAUUGCCAUUGAUACUGAUAGUCUUGAGUACAGUUGAGGUAGGCGGAAUGUGGUGUGUAGCGGUGAAAUGCAUAGAUAUACCACAGAACACCGAUUGCGAAGGCAGCUUACUAAAGUGUCACUGACGCUGAUGCACGAAAGUGUGGGGAUCAAACA